rnacentral:rRNA from 1 species
UACAGAGGUCUCAAGCGUUGUUCGGAUUCAUUGGGCGUAAAGGGUGUGUAGGUGGCGCGCUAAGUCGGGUGUGAAAUUUCGGAGCUUAACUCCGAAACUGCAUUCGAUACUGGCGUGCUUGAGGACUGGGAGAGGAGACUGGAAUUCAUGGUGUAGCAGUGAAAUGCGUAGAGAUCAUGAGGAAGACCAGUGGCGAAGGCGGGGUCUCUGGGCAGUAACUGACGCUGAGGAGCGAAAGCGUGGGGGAGCGAACAGG